rnacentral:rRNA from 1 species
UUCGGCGGUUAUAGCGAAGAGGAAACACCCGUUUCCAUCCCGAACACGGAAGUUAAGCUCUUCAGCGCCGAUGGUACUGCAUGGGAGACUGUGCGGGAGAGUAGGACACCGCCGAUU